AGUAAUAAUUAUAAUAAAGACAAACAAUUCUAACAAAACACGUUUGACAUACCCGGACAUUCGGUAAAGAGGGCUUGCUCUAAUGCGCUUACAAUCUAAAAUAUUUUGGUAGCUCCACUUUGCUGCAAUCAGGAAAAGGGAUGCUGGACAAUAUCACAGCCGGGGUAGACUUUGUCUGAUAGCCAGAAGACACUGUUUUUUAUCAGAUAGUCUAACAC